ACCUUGUUCUCUUAAUCUUCGCUCACGUAAAAAACCACACUCCUCAAACACCACGAUGCCUUCCUCUAUGGUGGAGAUUUGAACUCCCAUUCUUCAUUGCAAUGACUUGCCUUCUCUGAUGGCGAUUUGAACUUGGACACCCACUCUACACAUCUUGUGAAUUUUUCUUGUCUUAGGGUUUGUUCUCCUUCUUAUCAAGGACCCUUUAAAGUUGCAAAUAAAAUGAAAAAAGUAAUACAGAUCAAACCAAGUCUCUGCCUUCAUGAACUCUUUGAAGAUCAGACAAUCAACUUAACUCAUGAAAAACUUGGCGUAAUCUCAGAUUUGUCUAUUUAAAUUAGCUUGGCAGCAGGUAUUACUCGCUUCUAGCAUUGGUACCGAUAGUUGCAUUUGCAUUUCCUGCAUUAGGAUUCUCUGCACUCGGAGGUUGUUUCUCACCUUGUUGAGGGGAUUGACAUGAUGGUAUAUCAGGAGUCGCUCGCUUAGUCUUUGUUAUUAUAGGCCUACAGACCCUAUCGAAUGCCUCUGGCUUCCUUCAAACAUCAACUGACAAAUGAACAGGGUUGCCAUAUUUCUGAAGAGCAUCCUGAUGCUGACACUAGGUAUCAGAUUUUCUUUGAGAAAAAAAUCGUAAGGUGAUGAUUUUUCGAAGUCCAUUCAUGCACCUGGACCAGGCCCCUUCCAUGAUAAUGAAAUUGGGAAAGGGAACCUUUUAUUGACCUAUAAUUCUUGCACUUUAAAGGUAAGACUGAGAAUAGCGCAUUGCAGUGCACAUUCUUUGGCCAAACAGUCACUUGCAUUCAUGGUACGGUUCUGUUCCUUGCCGAAGAACAUUGUCAAAAUCCUCAUAAUUGUAGGCCACUCAACGACUUCAACUGCAGGAAUUUCCUCAGUAGUAAGCCUAGCUUCAACAAGAGAUUUCUCUGGAGACUCUCCAAGACAGGGAUGCUGAUUGUAACGACUAAUUUAAUCUUAUAAAAGAAAUAUUUUUGACAUGAAAAUAAGAUAAUUUUAAUUAUUUGACAACACAAUUUAGUGUUGAGUUACAAAGUUAACAUACAACUAAGUA